CGGAUCUGUAUCACCCUAAGUCAGAGCGCCAAGAAAUCUAAUGGAAAGGAACCCAACACAGGAAAUGGAGAGAAAAUAACUGAGAAAAAAAGCUCUUGGGAGGACACCAUGACUUGUCUGUUGAACAAGUGACAAGGGACCGCGGAGGAAUGCGCUUUCCCCCUGUGAAGUCCGGUCUGCCCAUCCCAAUAGCACCCAGCCAGCAGAGAAAUUCAUCCUAUGCAUACUCCCAUGGCCCAGACACUGUCAUGAAAGCUCCGUAAUUCAGCAAGUCACACACAACUGUUGGGCAUUCAGAAGAUGAAACGCAUUUCAUUAAAAAGUUUGUUUUAAGUAAUUGCCUAGCAUCAAGUUCUGUGGCAGAGGAAAGGAUGCGCUCCAACUCCUAAAUAUAAUAAAACAAGCGUUGAAUACCAAAAAAAGCUGAAACUGUAAGCAAUUCAUGACCAGAUCAAGCCCAUCAACUUGCCAAACACAGAGGCUGCCCCUCAUGAAAAGGUAGGUGGUAAGUUUAGUACAAACAAGAUUUGAAGAAAAUAAUUCCUUUUUAGAAAAGAAAUUGCAAUAUUCUGUGGUAAUUCUAUGCAUAAUACAGGCCAUGUUAUAUCACUUAAAGGAAAGGCAAAAAUACCAUUACCAAAAAUGCCAUUUUAAAUGGGACAUAGCUACUUGUGCUAAUAUGAAAUAUAUAGUCAACUUAUAGAUAUUACAGGUGCAGUGGCAUAGGUAGCUACAUUUACCUGCAAAUAAAAAGGCCUUAAAACUGUUUCUGAAGAGUAAUGCUGGGACCGUGUAUAUGUAUAUGAAUAAACAUUAUUGUAGUGUAUUGGGUUACAGAAACUGUUUUUCCUCAGUCACAAUAUUGAUUGACAAGUUAAGUUUUCUGGGUGACUCGGAGUUCCGAUACAUGAUGUUCACGCUAGGUGUAAAUAUGACAAGUUUACAGAAGAGCUGCCUGCGAAAACGUGGAAACUAAAGAUGUUCCUACUCCUCUCUAAUUACUCGACGAUGACAUUUUUCCACUUCCGCACGAGUA